UCCGUAGGGUGCAGGCGUUAAUCGGAAUUACUGGGCGUAAAGCGUGCGCAGGCGGUUUGCUAAGACAGGUGUGAAAUCCCCGGGCUUAACCUGGGAACUGCGCUUGUAACUGGCAAGCUAGAGUGUGGCAGAGGGGGGUGGAAUUCCAGGUGUAGCAGUGAAAUACGUAGAGAUCUGGAGGAACACCGAUGGCGAAGGCAGCCCCCUGGGCUAACACUGACGCUCAUGCACGAAAGCGUGGGGAGCAAACAGG
rnacentral:rRNA from 1 species